rnacentral:rRNA from 1 species
GACGGAGGGGGCAAGCGUUGUCCGGAAUCACUGGGCGUAAAGCGCACGUAGGCGGUCCUUUGCGUCGGUGCUGAAAGCGCCCCGCUUAACGGGGCGAGGCGUGCCGAUACGAGAGGACUGGAGGCAGGCAGAGGGUGGCGGAAUUCCGGGUGUAGUGGUGAAAUGCGUAGAGAUCCGGAGGAUCGCCGGUGGUGCAGACGGCCACCUGGGCCUGACCUGACGCUGAGGUGCGAAAGCGUGGGGAGCGAACCGG